UACAGAGGGGGCAAGCGUUGUUCGGAAUUACUGGGCGUAAAGGGCGCGUAGGCGGCCUGCUAAGUCGAACGUGAAAUCCCCGGGCUCAACCUGGGAACUGCAUCCGAUACUGGAUGGCUUGAAUUCGGGAGAGGGAUGCAGAAUUCCAGGUGUAGCGGUGAAAUGCGUAGAUAUCUGGAGGAAUACCGGUGGCGAAGGCGGCAUCCUGGGCCGACAUUGACGCUGAUGAGCGAAAGCUAGGGGAGCAAACGGG
rnacentral:rRNA from 1 species